GCUCGAGUGGCGAACGGGUGAGUAACACGUGAGUAACCUGCCCUUGACUUUGGGAUAACUUCAGGAAACUGGGGCUAAUACCGGAUAGGAGCUCCUGCUGCAUGGUGGGGGUUGGAAAGUUUCGGCGGUUAGGGAUGGACUCGCGGCUUAUCAGCUUGUUGGUGGGGUAGUGGCUUACCAAGGCUUUGACGGGUAGCCGGCCUGAGAGGGUGACCGGCCACAUUGGGACUGAGAUACGGCCCAG
rnacentral:rRNA from 1 species